UGAUGAGCGGUGGUCCUCGCGCGGCUCUUCCUAUCCUACUGCCGACUCCCGCGAUGACCGCGCGCUGACCACGCCUCGCUCCUCCUCGCUGAUUCCAACAGCGAUAGCGAUUCCACUGAUUCCACCAAUUCCGCCGCUGUUGGAUCUCCACUGAUUCCAUCAAUUCCACCAAUUUCGCCCCGAAGCGGUCACUCCGCCACACAAAACCCAGUCGCGAUGACUCCGCCGUGCGCAUCCUCUCUCGCUCGACCAGCGCCGAGCCACCGGCGCACUGCCACAACGCCGGAUCAGCGCCGAGCCACCACCGCACAACCGCAUCCCCUUCCGCCGGUGCCACGCCCGGGACUGCCCCCGACGACGACGGACGCACGCCCCCAUUGCUCCUCCGCAAAUAGCUCCUGAGCUUCACGCGAAGCCCGUGUUGGCCCCACGAAAGCCUCUCCUCCGCGAAUCCCUCCCCAUGGAAGCCCUAAGCUCCUCUCUCUUCCUCAGGGAGCGUCGCCGAUCCGUGGGUCGCUGCUCACCCUCCCGUCAUCGGCUGCCACCCUGCGUCUAUCGCCGUCGCUGUUGGAUGCAGGUCGUUGUCCGGCGUUUGACUGCUCUCGCUAUCGGAUCAAGGUUGUCGCCCAUCGUCGGGCAUCAUCCACUGCCACCGCCGCUCGCCGGCUCGCCGUCCGAUCGAGCAGGCCAGCACCCAUCUCCAGCGCCCACCAGGUGAACCAGGUAUAGAGGAUGUGGUGGAGGCGUGGGGGCUAAUCACUAUCAGUUAGAUUUUCGUGGAUCGAGCUUAUUACCUGAGUUUUCUCCUCUUCGGUGAUGGAGCCGGUUCAGGUGAAUGUGCUCUUAUCCUAAUACGGCAUAGUGAAUCAUUGUGGAAUGACUGAAAUCUGUUUUACUAUGGAAUGAGCAAAAAAUGUUUACUUGCGUCGAUGUCGAGAAGGUUAUAUAUGUCGGGAGCUGUUUGGAAAGGGUUUUAUCGGAGCAACGUUAUUGGGAAAGUAUUUUGCGGAGCAGUUUGGAAAGGGUUUUAUCAGAGCAAUUCUGGGAAUUGUACUUUUAUUGGAUCAAUAAUGAUUGGAAAGGAUUUUAUCAGAGAAAUCUUGAUUAGGAAGGCAUUCCCAUGAGUUGCAAAUCCAAGGAAGUUAAUAACACGACCUGUCUACAGGAUUACAAGCUAAUCGAUUUAUCCCAUUACGAGCUAAAGCUCACUGUUUGAUAUUGCUUUAUCCCGCUGCUUUUCCAUUAGAACCAACAAAAGGAGAAAUGCCUUUAGCUGAAGUUCUCAGAUUCAAUACCAAAGUUGAUUGUUUGAUUCUAAACGUAAUUAUCAUGGUUUCUUGUGGUCCUUUAAUGGUGAUAUUAAGAUUUGGGCAAAAUUGGUACAAAAGCAACAUGCCCAAAAUACCUUGGUAGCUUCCCCAUUUCUAUUAUCUCUCCAAUUUACUCUUAAAUUGUAUGAUGCAACAUUGUCAAGUUUCAUAGUAGUUAUUUUGGACUCACCUCUUCAAAGUACCUGUCAUCUGGGUUGGGAGGUAAUUUCUAAAUCUCAGCUCUACUAUUUGAUGAUCUGACAUUCAUAUUUUACUAUAUACUUCUUGUCACUAGAAUUCCUGCUGCAUACGUACUAGCUAGGUAUUUCCUCUUACAAUAAUGGUUGUCAGAAUUAGCAGCAUAUCAGCUCAACUCCAUGCUUGAACAAUCUGAGUUUUUCUUUACUCCAGAACACCUGAGAGUUGACAUAUAUGAUAUAUUUAACAGAUUGUGUUGAUUGCGCAUAAAGAAGUAGCCGAACAUAUUUCUGCUAUGCACAUUAACAUAUUGGUACAUAUUUACAAUUCUAUUUUUACGAGGCACUAUGCUACUGAUAGUCUAUUGAUGGGCUACAGCUGAAUUUAUUUUAAAAACAACUACUGUUUUUUUUUUCACCUACGUUGCCAUUCCUCCGUUCCUGCAUGUCCACUUUGUUGCAAAUCUAGAAUUGUGGAGAAACUCUUGAUGUUCAUCAUAUGCCAGUUCAUACUUUUCUAAAUUGCCAAAUUGAAAAGAGGGUUACAUAUUUAUUCAGUCCUAUCUGCAGGUUGGAAAUUGUAUGCAGCUAGCUAGAUCACUUUCUUAUCACAACUCACAAGAUUGCCGCUUUAUUAGCUAUAGUUUGAAUCUAGGAUGGUCUGCCAUAAGGUGCUUUAAUUACUUCUAUGAAUUUUGUUAAAUCAAAAUUGAUCCAUUUGUGGCUUUUA